UACGUAGGGUGCAAGCGUUAAUCGGAAUUACUGGGCGUAAAGCGUGCGCAGGCGGUGAUGUAAGACAGGUGUGAAAUCCCCGGGCUUAACCUGGGAACUGCAUUUGUGACUGCAUCGCGGGAGUGCGGCAGAGGGGGAUGGAAUUCCGCGUGUAGCAGUGAAAUGCGUAGAUAUGCGGAGGAACACCGAUGGCGAAGGCAAUCCCCUGGGCCUGCACUGACGCUCAUGCACGAAAGCGUGGGGAGCAAACAGG
rnacentral:rRNA from 1 species